rnacentral:rRNA from 1 species
AUUGAACGCUGGCGGCAUGCCUUACACAUGCAAGUCGAACGGCAGCACGGGAGCAAUCCUGGUGGCGAGUGGCGAACGGGUGAGUAAUAUAUCGGAACGUGCCCAGUCGUGGGGGAUAACGUAGCGAAAGCUACGCUAAUACCGCAUACGAUCUACGGAUGAAAGCGGGGGAUCGCAAGACCUCGCGCGAUUGGAGCGGCCGAUAUCAGAUUAGCUAGUUGGUGGGGUAAAAGCUCACCAAGGCGACGAUCUGUAGCUGGUCUGAGAGGACGACCAGCCACACUGGAACUGAGACACGGUCCAGACUCCUACGGGAGGCAGCAGUGGGGAAUUUUGGACAAUGGGCGCAAGCCUGAUCCAGCAAUGCCGCGUGCAGGAUGAAGGCCUUGGGUUGUAACUGCUUUGUACGGAACGAAACGGUGAGCUCUAAUAAAGACUUGCUAAUGACGGUACCGUAACGAAUAAGCACCGGCUAACUACGUGACCCG